rnacentral:rRNA from 1 species
AUUGAACGCUGGCGGCAUGCCUUACACAUGCAAGUCGAACGGCAGCACGGGAGCAAUCCUGGUGGCGAGUGGCGAACGGGUGAGUAAUAUAUCGGAACGUGCCCAGUAGUGGGGGAUAACUGCUCGAAAGAGCAGCUAAUACCGCAUACGACCUGAGGGCGAAAGGGGGGGAUCGCAAGACCUCUCGCUAUUGGAGCGGCCGAUAUCAGAUUAGCUAGUUGGUGGGGUAAAGGCCUACCAAGGCAACGAUCUGUAGUUGGUCUGAGAGGACGACCAACCACACUGGGACUGAGACACGGCCCAGACUCCUACGGGAGGCAGCAGUGGGGAAUUUUGGACAAUGGGCGCAAGCCUGAUCCAGCAAUGCCGCGUGCAGGAAGAAGGCCUUCGGGUUGUAAACUGCUUUUGUCAGGGAAGAAAUCCUCUAGGUUAAUACCCUUGGGGGGAUGACGGUACCUGAAGAAUAAGCACCGGCUAACUACGUGCCAGCAGCCGCAGUAACAC